UACGAAGGGGGCUAGCGUUGCUCGGAAUCACUGGGCGUAAAGGGUGCGUAGGCGGGUCCUUAAGUCAGGGGUGAAAUCCUGGAGCUCAACUCCAGAACUGCCCUUGAUACUGAGGAGCUCGAGUCCGGAAGAGGUGAGUGGAACUCCGAGUGUAGAGGUGAAAUUCGUAGAUAUUCGGAAGAACACCAGUGGCGAAGGCGGCUCACUGGUCCGGUACUGACGCUGAGGUGCGAAAGCGUGGGGAGCAAACAGG
rnacentral:rRNA from 1 species